rnacentral:rRNA from 1 species
UGGGGAAUAUUGCACAAUGGGCGCAAGCCUGAUGCAGCCAUGCCGCGUGUAUGAAGAAGGCCUUCGGGUUGUAAAGUACUUUCAGCGAGGAGGAAGGCGUUGUGGUUAAUAACCGCAACGAUUGACGUUACUCGCAGAAGAAGCACCGGCUAACUCCGUGCCAGCAGCCGCGGUAAUACGGAGGGUGCAAGCGGUAAUCGGAAUUACUGGGCGUAAAGCGCACGCAGGCGGUCUGUCAAGUCGGAUGUGAAAUCCCCGGGCUCAACCUGGGAACUGCAUCCGAAACGGGCAGGCUAGAGUCUUGUAGAGGGGGGUAGAAUUCCAGGUGUAGCGGUGAAAUGCGUAGAGAUCUGGAGGAAUACCGGUGGCGAAGGCGGCCCCCUGGACAAAGACUGACGCUCAGGUGCGAAAGCGUGGGGAGCAAACA